rnacentral:rRNA from 1 species
CUCAAAGGAAUUGACGGGGGCCCGCACAAGCGGUGGAGCAUGUGGUUCAAUUCGAUGCAGAGCGAAGAACCUUACCUGGGCUUGACAUGCGCGGAGUAGAAACCGGAAACGGGGACGACCUGUUGAGUCAGGAGCGCGCACAGGUGGUGCAUGGCUGUCGUCAGCUCGUGCCGUGAGGUGUUGGGUUAAGUCCCGCAACGAGCGCAACCCUCACCCGAUGUUGCGACCAGUACGGCUGAGCACUCUUCGGGAACUGCCGGCGAAGAGCUGGAGGAAGGGGGGGAUGACGUCAAGUCCGUAUGCCCCUGAUGUCCAGGGCUACACACAUGCUACAAUGGGCGGUACAGAGGGAAGCCAACCCGCGAGGGGGAGCCAAUCCCGCAACGCCGCUCUCAGUUCGGAUUGCAGGCUGCAACUCGCCUGCAUGAAGGCGGAAUCGCUAGUAAGCGCAGAUCAGCAGGCUGCGCUGAAUACGUUCCCGGGCCUUGUACACACCGCCCGUCACACCACGAAAGCCGGCGGUACCAGA